rnacentral:rRNA from 1 species
CCUACGGGAGGCAGCAGUGAGGAAUAUUGGUCAAUGGCCGAGAGGCUGAACCAGCCAAGUCGCGUGAGGGAAGACGGCCCUACGGGUUGUAAACCUCUUUUGUCGGGGAGCAAAGCGAGUCACGUGUGACUCAUUGAGAGUACCCGAAGAAAAAGCAUCGGCUAACUCCGUGCCAGCAGCCGCGGUAAUCCUGAGGAUGCGAGCGUUAUCCGGAUUUAUUGGGUUUAAAGGGUGCGCAGGCGGAGGUGCAAGUCAGCGGUCAAAUUGCGGGGCACAACCCCGUACUGCCGUUGAAACUGCAUCCGUGGAGUGGGCGAGAGGGAGGCGGAAGGCGUGGUGUAGCGGUGAAAU